AAAAAAAUAAGCUAAAAUAAGCUUUUAGGUUCAUACCCUAAAUAUAAAGGAUACGCCUUUUUUUUUUA
rnacentral:tRNA from 1 species